GAUCCUGGCUCAGGAUGAACGCUGGCGGCGUGCUUAACACAUGCAAGUCGAGCGAAGCACUUUGGUUUGAUUCUUCGGAUGAAGACCUUUGUGACUGAGCGGCGACGGGUGAAGGUAACGCGUGGGUAACCUGCCUCAUACAGGGGGAUAACAGUUAGAAAUGACUGCUAAUACCGCAUAAGACCACGGUACCGCAUGGUACAGUGGUAAAAACUCCGGUGGUAUGAGAUGGACCCGCGU
rnacentral:rRNA from 1 species